rnacentral:rRNA from 1 species
UACGAACGCUGGCGGCGUGCUUAACACAUGCAAGUCGAACGGAAAGGCCCUGCUUUUGUGGGGUGCUCGAGUGGCGAACGGGUGAGUAACACGUGAGUAACCUGCCCUUGACUUUGGGAUAACUUCAGGAAACUGGGGCUAAUACCGGAUAGGAGCUCCUGCUGCAUGGUGGGGGUUGGAAAGUUUCGGCGGUUGGGGAUGGACUCGCGGCUUAUCAGCUUGUUGGUGGGGUAGUGGCUUACCAAGGCUUUGACGGGUAGCCGGCCUGAGAGGGUGACCGGCCACAUUGGGACUGAGAUACGGCCCAGACUCCUACGGGAGGCAGCAGUGGGGAAUAUUGCACAAUGGGCGGAAGCCUGAUGCAGCAACGCCGCGUGCGGGAUGACGGCCUUCGGGUUGUAAACCGCUUUCGCCUGUGACGAAGCGUGAGUGACGGUAAUGGGUAAAGAAGCACCGGCUAACUACGUGCCAGCAGCCGCGGUGAUACGUAGGGUGCGAGCGUUGUCCGGAUUUAUUGGGCGUAAAGGGCUCGUAGGUGGUUGAUCGCGUCGGAAGUGUAAUCUUGGGGCUUAACCCUGAGCGUGCUUUCGAUACGGGUUGACUUGAGGAAGGUAGGGGAGAAUGGAAUUCCUGGUGGAGCGGUGGAAUGCGCAGAUAUCAGGAGGAACACCAGUGGCGAAGGCGGUUCUCUGGGCCUUUCCUGACGCUGAGGAGCGAAAGCGUGGGGAGCGAACAGGCUUAGAUACCCUGGUAGUCCACGCUGUAAACGGUGGGUACUAGGUGUGGGGUCCAUUCCACGGGUUCCGUGCCGUAGCUAACGCUUUAAGUACCCCGCCUGGGGAGUACGGCCGCAAGGCUAAAACUCAAAGGAAUUGACGGGGCCCCGCACAAGCGGCGGAGCAUGCGGAUUAAUUCGAUGCAACGCGUAGAACCUUACCUGGGUUUGACAUGGAUCGGGAGUGCUCAGAGAUGGGUGUGCCUCUUUUGGGGUCGGUUCACAGGUGGUGCAUGGCUGUCGUCAGCUCGUGUCGUGAGAUGUUGGGUUAAGUCCCGCAACGAGCGCAACCCUUGUUCACUGUUGCCAGCACGUUAUGGUGGGGACUCAGUGGAGACCGCCGGGGUCAACUCGGAGGAAGGUGGGGAUGACGUCAAGUCAUCAUGCCCCUUAUGUCCAGGGCUUCACGCAUGCUACAAUGGCUGGUACAGAGAGUGGCGAGCCUGUGAGGGUGAGCGAAUCUCGGAAAGCCGGUCUCAGUUCGGAUUGGGGUCUGCAACUCGACCUCAUGAAGUCGGAGUCGCUAGUAAUCGCAGAUCAGCAACGCUGCGGUGAAUACGUUCCCGGGGCUUGUACACACCGCCCGUCAAGUCAUGAAAGUUGGUAACACCCGAAGCCGGUGGCCUAACCGUUGUGGGGGAGCCGUCGAAGGU